rnacentral:rRNA from 1 species
CCCUUAGAUGUUCUGGGCCGCACGCGCGCUACACUGUUCGACGCAGCGAGUCUUAACCUUGACCGAAAGGUUUGGGUAAUCUUCAGCAAAGUCGAACGUGAUGGGGAUCGAUCAUUGCAAUUAUUGAUCGUGAACGAGGAAUUCCUAGUAAGUGCAAGUCAUCAGCUUGCGUUGAUUACGUCCCUGCCCUUUGUACACACCGCCCGUCGCUACUACCGAUUGAACGGUUUAGUGAGAUCUCUGGAUUGACGCUGGCUAGGGGGCGACCCUUGGCCAGGCUGCUCGAGAAACUGCUCAAACUUGAUCAUUUAGAGGAAGUAAAAGUCGUAACA